rnacentral:rRNA from 1 species
CCUACGGGAGGCAGCAGUGGGGAAUAUUGGGCAAUGGGCGCAAGCCUGACCCAGCAACGCCGCGUGAAGGAAGAAGGCUUUCGGGUUGUAAACUUCUUUUAAGGGGGAAGAGCAGAAGACGGUACCCCUUGAAUAAGCCACGGCUAACUACGUGCCAGCAGCCGCGGUAAUACGUAGGUGGCAAGCGUUGUCCGGAUUUACUGGGUGUAAAGGGCGUGCAGCCGGAGGGACAAGUCAGAUGGUAAAUCCACGGGCUCAACCCGUGAACUGCAUUUGAAACUGUUUCCCUUGAGUGUCGGAGAGGUAAUCGGAAGUCCAUGUGUAGCGGUGAAAUGCGUAGAUAUAAGGAAGAACACCAGUGGCGAAGGCGGAUUACUGGACGAUAACUGACGGUGAGGCGCGAAAGCGUGGGGAGCAAACAGGAUUAGAUACCCUUGUAGUC